UCUGAGGAGGAGCCAUAAUGGACUUAAAACACUAACUCUGUUUCUCUCUCCACGGGUGCUGCCAACCUGCUGAGUUUCUGCAACGUUCUCUGUAUUUGUUGCAGCAAAUGUAUUUAACUGACCAUGAAAUUUGAAAGGCAGUAUAUCAAUGCAAAUUCUUCGGCUGGAUGGUCUCUUCAUCUCCAACUUAAAAAGGAAAAAUCACUUAUGAGACACUGGCCGAGAAAUGACUGCUGUUGAUUUAGUUGCUUGAUGCAAUUUCCUUAGAGAUGCUUUCAACCCAAGGAUUAGCUAAGGCACCUUUCCAACCUAUGAAUGGGAAUUUCAUCAUGCUUCUGGCCAAGCUACAAUAGAGGAGGCCAAGGCUGCUGGAAAAUUCUAGAAUAUCUCACUAGAUGAAGCUCUGUGUGUUCCCCUUCGUGGUCAUCAGUUCAUCACUUGAACAUCCACCAGUUUCAGGAGGGAGGUUUUGCUGGAACUGCACACAAUAUGAGGUCACAGCUGGAGUACUGUGUGCAGAUCUGGUCACCACGUGAUGGGAAGCCUGUGAUUGCGCUGUAGUGAGUACAGAGGAGAUACACCACGAAGUUGCCUGGAAUGGAGCAACUCAGCGAUAAAGAGAGACUGGCUAAGCUUGGGUUGUUUCCCAUAGAGCAGAGAAGCUUCACUAUCAAACUGAGUUUGCCCAAACAUGUAAUCAUGAAGAACAGAAUAAACUAAGAAUGAAGUAAUGUUGAACCUAUAGAGAACAGUUACUAGACAACUGUUAGAAUAUCACUUUCAGAAGAAGGUUAAAAUGAUGGAAAGGAUACUGAAUGGAUUCACUAAGAUGAUACCAAGGAUGAGAGGAUCAGGUUGUAUCCGACACUGUCAAAUCUCUCAAGGAAGGUCACAAGAGUGGUCAAAAUAUAGAAUGUCUGUCGUGUGUCAGGCCUAAAGCACAGCUUGAACUGAAAAUCUUCUCAGUCCAAGGUUCCUAUUCACCUUGGAAAUAAGAACCUUGCUCCCAUGAUUUUCAAAACAGCCAUCAUCCAGAUUUCUGCAAAAAACGUCUAAUUUUUAUCAUGUGAAGCACUGCCUUCUAAAAUGUUUUACUAACAGGCAUCAUCUGUUAAUAGCACUAGGGAUGCAGACCACCAUUGUGGUGACUGGUGUUUUAAGAUAUGAAAAGAAUUAUCUUGGAUCUUCUCUCCAUUCAGAAUGCUGUAUUGGCAAGAAAAAAAAGUUAGUUAACCAGGUAGAAAAAUCAAUGACUGACAACAGAGAAUGCUCUUUAGGUGUGUUAAAAAUACAGUUGAGUUUGAGCAGAAAGCAGUUGCCUAAAUCCAUUUUAAGCAAUAAGCUUAUUAAUAAUAAUAGCAUUCUACUUGUUGCCAGAGCAGUGAGACUGGUGGAUUCCAGAACACUACAGAUUAGUUUGUCUGUUGUUUUGCCUUUCUCUUUCAAGUCAAAGAUUACGAGCUCAAAUCCCACUCCUACUUCUUGGGUAUUGCACAAAAAUUGAACUGUUGGAGGUGCCAACAACAGAUGAGAUGGUAAAAUGGGACCUGGACUGUCAGCCAGUGCUAGUGCAUCCAGACAGAUACAACAGACUUAAUCGCAACGUGUUGGGCAAGUUGGGCAUCUGGAUUCCUGUGUCCAUGUCGGUGUCUCAAAUCAAAAUAUUUAACUCAUCAUUUAUCUCUCAGGUUAUUAAUCUGGUCCUGUGAUAUCUAAAUCAGCUGCUGAAUUUAUGUAAAUAUACUUCAAAAAUAAUUCACCAUACUAAAUAUGUGACAAGAUACAUUGUAACUAUUUUUAUUUGAUGGAGAUAGGGAAAUAAAGCAAGUUUAUAAAAAUUAAAGAAGCAGAAAAAUGUUCAAGUGUAAAAGACCAGAGGAAAAUGCAAUGCUGAGUUGCAGUGAGAAAUACUAGAAUGAUUUCAAACGCAGGGGGCAACUAUAGAUAAAUAACAUUAGUGAAUGAUAUAACUAUAAAAACAUUGAAUAAAAGUACUGAAUAUUGCUAUUCUGUUAACAAGACAGAUGGCAGCUGAAUAUUUCAACCUAUUUAAUUUUUCUCUUUUGUUUUCAAGUAAUUCUUUUGUUGUCAGCAUUCUUAACCACUUAGCUAUGAGCCAAUGAAAAUGAAGGUGCACUGCCGUAUUGGUGUCAAAUGUGAUGCAUAUAUCCCCAAUGACAAGGCUUAACUACACAAUCUCUUUUUAACCAUCCAUUUUCAACAUUCCUAGUUACCUUGAAGAUGCCAAAUCACUAUUUUCUAUCAAUGACGUUUCACUUUAAACUCUUAAAACCCUAGGAACUCCCCUGUAAACCUUUCUAUAUCUUUCCUCCUUUACAGCAUCUAUUGAAACUUACCAUACCAAGCUUUUGGUAAUCUGCUUUAAUAUCUCCUCAUGGGACUUAAUGUCACCUGUUUUAGAAUACUCCUGUGAGACGCUCUUGGGAUGUUAUAAAGCCCUGUUUAAAUAUACAUUUACUAGCUCAUUACAAAGGAGCUGAAAAUACACCUCCUGUUUGAGAAGGUUCUUCUAGACAAGAAAAGCUUAUUAUUCAACUGCUCUCUGAGCAAUUAUUUUCAACAAUAGUGGUGCAUUGCUUAUGUACUUCAGCACUUCACCUCAUGAGUCUCAAUAAAAUGUUUGACAGGUGAAAGGAGUAAUAACCCUAUUCAGUUUCCUUUAAUUUCUAUUAAAUAGUCUUUAUUCCAUGAACAAGACAUUUUGCAUUUGAAUUACAUUGUGUACAGCAUGGGCUAUGACAAAAUACUAGUAUCUUUAUUUGCCUUGACUAAUGAAAAAAAUAUAAAAGCUGAAAACAACUGAUAACACCAUAACAAUAUGAACUUAAUAACCACAGAUAGAAUAUCUACAUCCAAAUAAAGAAUGCAAGAUGACUGCAUUUUAAAAGUUCACGAUCGUUUACUCUUUACCAACACAAAACACAUGCACUCAAGGACUUACUACCAAGCAAAUAUUUUAAAAAGUAAUGUAGCAGGAAAUGGAAAGGAACUUCUUGAUAAAAAUGCAUUCCAUCCAAGUUACACUGGAAUGUGACACUGUACUUAAACAAGAUUGAAAUACAAUAUCACUCAGAAUGCAUUGGGCAAUACACAAAUUUAAAUGUUAUCUUAUUCUCUUCGAAAUAUUAACCUUUAAAACUACCCUUUGCCCCACUUGCUCCUGCUCAUACAUCUUUUCAAAAUGAACGUGACAGCCUUUACAAGUGUAAAUUGGGAGAUGGUUAACCUUAAGAGGUGAAGGAUUACAACAGUGAUAAUGAAUUUAUAACAAAAAUGUGGAUUUCAGUCAGAGAAGGUCUACAACUAUCUAACCAAAUGAAAUGCAUGUUACCCGCUAGAAGGGAUUAGGUAUGAGAAUUCAGAUAAGUAACAGGGCAGAAAAGCAGCACCGGCCAGUUUGCAAACUGAAACCAAGAGAUUGGCUAAUGCCACAUGACUGUCUACAAUUAGGAAGCCACUGAAUUAAAGUUGACCUAAAUAAUUAAGAUGUGGAAGGCUUCUUUUCUUCUUCAAAUUGACAGUGUUUCAUUUUCUAUCAGCACAUACUAGAAUCUUAACUAACAGGUCACUGAUACAGAUACUGAUCCACCAUAGAAGCAGACCAGGCCAAUCCUAAUGUCCCUUUAGAAUAAGUUUACCUUAGAAUAAGCUUCAGAUCACAUUAACUGGUUACAAAAACAAAAAUCAGAGAAGCCCAUAUGUGUAAAGUGUUUGAUAGAUAUUUCUGCAAGAUGUAAUAGAUGUUUAAUAAAUCUAAAUACUUGCAGCAAUUGUGGGGAAAUUCUGUCCUCAUAUAUUGUUUGACAGUAACUUUAUAAAUUCAAGGGACUCCCAAGAUCGCACAAGCAUUGACUGAAAUGGAAACCUAUCCUUCAUGGAAAAUGAUGAAUUUAAGAGUUAGGUGUUUGUAGACAAUUAUCAUCAGUCACAGAUUAGAUUUUUUGAACCUGUAAAACUAGAGUUAUAGAGACAUGCAGUUGAGAAGAAUUUUUUUUAAAAAUCCCAACCUUUCUGUUUUUACUGUUGUUGACUGAUUUCCAACAUUUACAGACUAAAUAUUAAUCCAAAUAGCUCAUAUAUGAAGGGUUGCAUCCUGUUAUUGCUGGUAAUGGAGAACAUUUGAGCAAUUAAUAUACUUAAUUACAGUAGUGAUACUGGUCCUUGAUCUUUAAAAAUGAGCUUAUCACCAGAAUCAUACUUAACAUCAGGCACAUGGAAAGUUAUUGGGACAUUUUGAGCAUCAUGACUCUUAAACAGCCAGCAGAGACCAUUAAUAAGCACCUGCAGUGGUUCUGUUUCUUCAAAUAUUCUUUACUACCAAACAGUUUGGUUAACAUUGUGCACCCAUAAAUCACUUACUUCUAUGUAAAUAAAAUUCCUUAUGAAGUAUUGAAAAGUCUGGCCAAUGGGAUUCAAGAUAGAACAUUUUUAGAAUGAUUUUAUCCAAACUCUAGACAUUUAUGAGAAGCAACCGUGCAAUGAAUACAAAGAAAAUCUUGAUGCAUUGUGCAUAAAAUAUUCAUUAGUGGUGAAUGAUAAAGAACAAAGAUAAAAGCAAGACCAAAAAACUGUGGGGUUAAGGAGUGUACUUCAACUUAAAAACAGUACAGACUACAGCAAAACAGCACACUAGUAACAUGGGUAAAGAGGGAUCAUAUGAAGUGAAAUCUACUUUCCUUCAUACAAAAGAAAAUCACAGCUGUUUAUUUUUCAUCUACAAUUUAAACUUAUUCCUACAGUAGGAGUAAUGUUAUAAUACUGGAAAUAAAAGACCAAGUUAAAGCUCAGUUUGGUCUGUUACAAGACUUGGGUCUAAGUGCCACUAUAUAGAACUGUCUCUCACACAUACCUGUGACCAUUUAAUAUCUCUGACCACCUAUUCAAGGCUGAAAACAAGUUGUGUCCACCAUGGUUACAGCAUCAGCUGUAGGCUCUGGAGUCCUCAAUAUCAAUUGCUUGUGUUCCCUCAGAACCAAGUUAAAGCUUGGACACUAUCAGAUUUCAUCAGCAUCACGAAGUUUUAUUAGGUGGAAUGUCUAGGGGAUUGCAUCAAUCAGGGUUUCUUUCACAGAGACCAGACUUCCCGAGAAAUAUACUUAAGUCAGCUCAAAUCUGCACGACAAUGCCAUAAAACAUUUGGUGAGUGUUUCAAUAGGUUAUGACAAACUAGAAACCGUUUUCUAAGCUAGUGCUGUACAGCUCAGUUGUUUUGUUUUUAAGGAUGUCUGCCUUCAUUGUAAUUUUAAUAGGCAUUGUGAAUAUACAGUAGUGUCAUUUAGUGUAUCGUGAGCAAGCAGGGUAUCCUUGCUGACUGGAAGAGAGUGGGAAGUAAACAAAGCUAAAAAUUGUCAUGAAGAUCGAAACACAAUUUAAGAAGUUCUGGCAACCACACGCAUUCGGUAACUGUUGAAAAUUAAAAAUAUAUUUUAUUCAAUCCAAUUGAAAUUAGAGAUGUGCCAUUUCCCCUAAAGAAUGAAGAUACUUGCGUACCAAUAUCAACAAUAACCUAAGGCCUGAAUUGUAGUCAGGCUGUUGUUGUGUACAAAGUCUUGUGCAGCUGAAAGGGUGCCUGGAGUUUUACUCUGGUCUAAAACACCUCUCCCUCUCAACAGCUGCCAUUCACAAUGAAGUCCAACAAUAUUUAACAUUUCAAGUAAACUAGUUAAGGUUACUAAAACCUGCUACAGUUAAAAAAGGUGGCUCCCUCCUAUUGAAAUCAUGCAGGACAGUGGCCAUGUACACUGAAAAUUGCUCGAAGCUCUGAUCAGAAUUAUAGCAAAUAAAUAGUUAAGGAAUCAGUCAAAACACACAUAAAUUUCGAUCACAAAGUAAUCAACACACAGAAUAGUCAGAGACUGAAAUACAAGGGUCAAAUUCAAGUACCUCCUUGCUAGUAGAAAUCUUGGAUCCCUCAAGAUCAGAAUUUGCUCUCCUGGAAUACUAAUGCCAAUUGUGGACCCACUACCUGAAUUUAACAGCUAAGCAAUCAUUUCUUGCAAAGUUGGUCAUUACCGAGGCCCAAAAAUUUAAUCUUGCUGAGCCUCCCUGCUGACAAUCCAGGUCGGGCCAGCCGACGCCUUGCUGCAUUUCAAACCAGGGAUUCAAACUGAGUCCAUGAUAAAUGAAUUCUACAAGUAAAAUCUGUAGAUGAAAAAAAUGAUAACUGAGGCAUCUCAUCUAAUCCAAACACUUGCCUAUGGCCUUGGGCUAGCUUGUUUUGUAAAACACCUUUUGAUAAAUUGUACUGCUACAUUUCUGGGUUGAGUUUAUUUACAAGUACCUGCAUAAACAGGCUGAACUGCAUCUACCCACUCCCAGCCAUUCUGUGCCUCCAUAGUUUGAACUAGUGACAACCGCAAAGGUUUGGAGCAAUGGUGCGCCAGGACUUUGCACAAUGAUGAGUAGAAAGGAAAAUCAAAACAUUCCCUUUGUGCAAUUCAUUCCGGUUCCAUUUAAGAAAAUAUAUAUUUAAUGGUACACACUGAAGUGGAUACAGAUCUCUGCAAAGGAGCACAGAAAUCAGUACAAUUUUAAAUAGAAGAGAUUAUUUCAAAACAUAAAAGGGAGUUAUGAGAGAUAAGUUUUAUAAAAGGAAACACUAAGCUUGAUGAUUGAAACAUGUACCCAAUUGUGACAGUUAUAAUUUAUAUUAAACCUUGCAGCAAAAAAAAAGGCAUGUUCUAUAAGUUAUUAUUGCACAUCAGUCCAUGAAAUUUGUAGCACACCACCUCCUGAAGGAUAGUACAAAAGAUGCACAGACUGAUGUAUCGUAGCAACGUUCACAGGACAAAUACUUUAUUUAUAAAAGCGCUGUGGAAAUUCAGGUAGUGUAUUGGAGCUACAGGACAUCUGGGUUUCUUCUUGGUACAUAGCUAAAACUGUGAAUGAUAGUGAAGAGUUUGGUCAGGAACGAUUAAUUAGUGUCAUCAAGUUGGGAAUGGUCUCUUUUGGUUCCUUCUUUGUGCUUAGGAGCAGUUUCAUUUCUUCUUUGCAUGGACAU